UGUGUUGCUUGCCUUUAAAAAGGCACUGAG
rnacentral:piRNA from 1 species